AUGAGCAAAAUCUCAACUUUAUUAGAAGAGACGCAUUUAUUAGAUAAAAAGCCAAUGCAUGCUUUUACAGUAUGAAAAUUGGUGAUUUAUAAUAACUUAGCAAAUCGCAUAGUGAAAACAGGCGAUAAAUCAUUCAAGUUUCUGACCUAUCAGCUUUCGACGGUAUGGUAUUGGCUUACCGUGGCAGUGACGGUUAACGGGGGAUUAGGGUUCGAUUCCGGAGAGGGAGCCUGAGAAACGGCUACCACAUCUAAGGAAGGCAGCAGGCGCGCAAAUUACCCAAUUCUAACAGUUUGAGAGAGGUAGUAACAAGAAAUAACAAUACAAGGCAGUUAAAAUGCUUUGUAAUUGGAAUGAUAGAAAUUUAAACCCUUUUUAAAGUAUCAAUUGGAGGGCAAGUCUGGUGCCAGCAGCCGCGGUAAUUCCAGCUCCAAUAGCGUAUAUUAAAAUUGUUGCAGUUAAAAAGCUCGUACUUGAAGUUCUGCUAAAAGUAACCGGUCUGCUUUGAAUAAAAGUGGUAUCUUGGUAUGUAUUUAGCAAUGAUGUCCUUUGAAGUGUUUUUUACUUUAUUGUAAUAAAGCAUAUUCAGGACUUUUACUUUGAGAAAAUUAGAGUGUUUCUAGCAGGCCAACGCUUUGAAUACUGCAGCAU
rnacentral:rRNA from 1 species